UACGAAGGGGGCUAGCGUUGUUCGGAAUUACUGGGCGUAAAGCGCGCGCAGGCGGCUAUCCAAGUCAGUGGUGAAAGCCCGGAGCUCAACUCCGGAACUGCCAUUGAAACUGUUUAGCUUGAGGAUGAGAGAGGUGAGUGGAAUUCCCAGUGUAGAGGUGAAAUUCGUAGAUAUUGGGAAGAACACCGGUGGCGAAGGCGGCUCGCUGGCUCAUUACUGACGCUCAGGCGCGAUAGCGUGGGGAGCAAACAGG
rnacentral:rRNA from 1 species